GAUGAGCGCUGGCGGCGCGCCUAAUACAUGCAAGUCGAGCGAACGGACGAGAAGCUUGCUUUUCUGAUGUUAGCGGCGGACGGGUGAGUAACACGUGGAUAACCUACCUAUAAGACUGGGAUAACUUCGGGAAACCGGAGCUAAUACCGGAUAAUAUUUUGAACCGCAUGGUUCAAAAGUGAAAGACGGUAUUGCUGUCACUUAUAGAUGGAUCCGCGCUGCAUUAGCUAGUUGGUAAGGUAACGGCUUACCAAGGCAACGAUGCAUAGCCGACCUGAGAGGGUGAUCGGCCACACUGGAACUGAGACACGGUCCAGACUCCUACGGGAGGCAGCAGUAGGGAAUCUUCCGCAAUGGGCGAAAGCCUGACGGAGCAACGCCGCGUGAGUGAUGAAGGUCUUCGGAUCGUAAAACUCUGUUAUUAGGGAAGAACAUAUGUGUAAGUAACUGUGCACAUCUUGACGGUACCUAAUCAGAAAGCCACGGCUAACUACGUG
rnacentral:rRNA from 1 species